GGACGAACGCUGGCGGCGUGCUUAACACAUGCAAGUCGAACGAGACCCCGUCGUUCGGGUGGGUGUUCUAGUGGGCGAACGGGUGAGUAACACGUGGGCAACCUGCCCCUGGCUCUGGGAUAACUCCAAGAAAUUGGGGCUAAUACCGGAUAUUCACUGCUGGCCGCAUGGUUGGUGGUGGAAAGAUUUAUCGGCUGGGGAUGGGGCCCGCGGCCUAUCAGCUUGUUGGUGGGGUGACGGCCUACCAAGGCGACGACGGGUAGCCGGCCUGAGAGGGUGACCGGCCACACUGGGACUGAGACACGGCCCAGACUCCUACGGGAGGCAGCAGUGGGGAAUAUUGCGCAAUGGGCGAAAGCCUGACGCAGCGACGCCGCGUGAGGGACGAAGGCCU
rnacentral:rRNA from 1 species